GAUGAACGCUGGCGGCGUGCCUAAUACAUGCAAGUCGAGCGAACGGACGAGAAGCUUGCUUUUCUGAUGUUAGCGGCGGACGGGUGAGUAACACGUGGAUAACCUACCUAUAAGACUGGGAUAACUUCGGGAAACCGGAGCUAAUACCGGAUAAUAUUUUGAACCGCAUGGUUCAAAAGUGAAAGACGGUCUUGCUGUCACUUAUAGAUGGAUCCGCGCUGCAUUAGCUAGUUGGUAAGGUAACGGCUUACCAAGGCAACGAUGCAUAGCCGACCUGAGAGGGUGAUAGGCCACACUGGAAAUGAGACACGGUCCAGACUCCUACGGGAGGCAGCAGUAGGGAAUCUUCCGCAAUGGGCGAAAGCCUGACGGAGCAACGACGCGUGAGUGAUGAAGGUCUUCGGAUCGUAAAACUCUGUUAUUAGGGAAGAACAUAUGUGUAAGUAACUGUGCACAUCUUGACGGUACCUAAUCAGAAAGCCACGGCUAACUACGUG
rnacentral:rRNA from 1 species